rnacentral:rRNA from 1 species
CAACUUUCAGCAACGGAUCUCUAGGCUCUCGCAUCGAUGAAGAACGCAGCGAAAUGCGAUAAGUAAUGUGAAUUGCAGAAUUCAGUGAAUCAUCGAAUCUUUGAACGCACCUUGCGCUCCUUGGUAUUCCGAGGAGCAUGCCUGUUUGAGUGUCAUUAAU